AGGCGGGUUCAGGCAGAUGCUCAUCACAGCCCAGCAGCCGACAUUCUAUGUGCACUUCCUGGACGGCGGAACCACCAAUCAGGUGUAAGCAAUGAUCUGAUUGGUGCUAAAUUGUCCAAUCAGCCACAGGACCGUUAAAAAAAACUGUCCAAUCAGACUUGUGGGUGGGGCACCCUGCGACGGGAUGGGGGCCGGGCCAGAGGGAGCUGAGGGACCCUGUUCCAGCUUUUGAAGGCAUUUCUGGCCUCCCAAGAAAUGAAAGACCAGCAGCCGACUUUGAAGCAAGAAAGAAGAAAUGAAGCAUCCAGCAGCCGAUCUCCCAGGAGCGAGGGAAGCCAAAGUCCUCUGGCAGAGGCUGGGCCUCCCGUCCUGUCUCUGCACCCCCGGACAGGAGAACGUUGUCUACUUUGGCAUUGUUGAGUUUAAAAUUUAAAGAAGCUGAAUAAAAACAGAGUGAAGAAUAAAAAAUAAUAGGAUGACAUAGUGGGUAAGGAGAAAUCAACGAGUUCACAAGAAGACACAAGAGAAGACCCCCCCAAAUGGCGUGUGAGGGAUGGAAAGAAACGACCCCACAAUUAAACCUUGUUGACUGGCCUCCAUGGGCUCCAAGGAGAGGAGCGGGGCUCCCCUUCAGGGACAGAUAUCUGGACAGCCCGACCUGGAGCUGCUCAGACUGGGGGUCUGGGACCUGGCUCCCUCCUCCUGCCUCCCAGACCUGGGCGGGGAAAUGGGGGUUUCAGUCCCAGAAAAGUUUACAAUAUGCUCUCAAACUACAUUGUAAGUCUCCAGGAAUAAAAACACACAGACCUUGGAACAUAAAGGAGAGCCCAGAAACCCCUUCCCCAGGAGCAUUCUCAGCCACUAAGAGGAGCCAGGAGCAAACACGGGGAACCUGCUUCCAUCAGCAGAGCCAGAAUGUGGGGGUCCCGCUCAGGCAUGAAACUGGACCCCUGGUAACUUCAUGCCCAAAAAUGAACCCCCAUGUUCCCCCAAUUCUCCACACCCAGCACUUCCUCCACUGGGUCCUCUGACUGGAUCCCCUCAGCCAUCAGCCACCCCCAGGAACAUGUUCCUCAAUUUCCCCUCCCUCCCUCGGGCUCACCUCCUCCACUGGGGUGCAGCCAGGGCCCUACUCCAAAGCACAGACGCCACCUAGCGCUGGCACUGGGUCCUGAAUGACCAGGUUCCCACCAGCAGGAACUUCACUCAGAGAACCCAGAAGGCAGCCAUGCCAGCACCUGAAUUUCUACAGCAGCAGCCAGACCCAGGAAAGUUGAAGAGGGCCCAGAAGACCAUGUGAUUUGAUCACUUGCGAUUUGAUCAGCUGUGGACCUUGCGGGGCUCUAUCUCCUGUGCUCAGAAGUUCACAACAAGGUGGAGACAGGGUCCACAACAGCAUUAUUUAUAAUAGCAUGGACACAGAAGCAGCCUAAAUGUCGAUAAACACAUGAUAGGGUCAGGAAGGCUGUAUAUCCACACCAAGGAGUGUUAAAGAGUCGGAAGAAAGGUGAAAUGCAGCCAUUUCUAACAAAAUGGAGACAAUUAUGUGCAGCAAGGUGCCAACUGCUAUAGCAAGUGUCAGACACUUUGGGAAGUACCCGGGCACAGAUCAGAGGAGGGAUGUGGAGCUGGGCCUUGGUGGAGAAUCAUUGGUCCUCAGAACCAACCUAGUCACAUCCUAGAAGUGAGCAGGUUAACAAAAGUCAACAAGUCCACAAAGGGACGGGCCCUUCUACAGAGAAGACUCCAGCAGGCAAUCUCUGUCCCUUCAGGGGCAGCUGCCUCCUGCCCGCCUGGGCCCAUCCAGGUGCUUCUCACUGCCAACCUGCUGCUUUACAGGCAGCAAAGACAGCUCCUCCCGAGGCUGCUGCUGGGGCCACACAGGCCCCUCUCAGCAAACCGGUCUCUUUGGGGGCAGCUCUUUCUGCCUGCUGCGUCUGUGCGGUGUCCUUGUUCUCACUCCCUUUUUAAUAAACCUGCCCUUCUGGA